rnacentral:ncRNA from 1 species
AGGAGCCGUGUGCUGGGAAACUCGCAAGCACGGUUUUGAAUGGGAGGCGAUGGAGGCGACUCCGUUCUCGACCCCUGC